rnacentral:rRNA from 1 species
UUUGGGCGAGUCUCCCUUCUCGGGAAACUCUCUCAACCCCNACGAACCCUUGACCUCAAAUCGGGUGAGACUACCCGCUGAACUUAAGCAUAUCAAUAAGCGGAGGAAAAGANAACUAACAAGGAUUCCCCUAGUAACUGCGAGUGAANGCGGGAAAAGCUCAAAUUUAAAAUCUGGCGGUCUUUGGCCGUCCGAGUUGUAAUUUAAAGAAGCGUCUUCCG